UACGUAGGGGCAAGCGUUGUUCGGCAUUACUGGGCGUAAAGGGCUCGUAGGCGGCCAACUAAGUCAGACGUGAAAUCCCUCGGCUUAACCGGGGAACUGCGUCUGAUACUGGAUGGCUUGAGUUUGGGAGAGGGAUGCGGAAUUCCAGGUGUAGCGGUGAAAUGCGUAGAUAUCUGGAGGAACACCGGUGGCGAAGGCGGCAUCCUGGACCAACACUGACGCUGAGUGAGCGAAAGCCAGGGGAGCAAACGGG
rnacentral:rRNA from 1 species